rnacentral:rRNA from 1 species
CAUAGCGACUAUCGUGGCAUAUCAAUAAGCGGAGGAAAAGAAACUAACUAGGAUUCCCUCAGUAACGGCGAGUGAAGCGGGAAGAGCUCAAAUUUGAAAUCUUCAAGGUUCUACCUUGACGAAUUGUGGUUUAAAGAAGUGUUUUCUGUUGGAGUUUCGGUAAAAGUUCUUUGGAAUAGGACAUCAUAGAGGGUGAGAAUCCCGUAUUUGACCGUUAUUUUCAGCUGUGUGAUACACUUUCAAAGAGUCGGAUUGUUUGGGAAUGCAGUCCAAAAUGGGUGGUAAAUUUCAUCUAAAGCUAAAUAUUGGCGAGAGACCGAUAGCGAACAAGUACCGUGAGGGAAAGAUGAAAAGAACUUUGAAAAGAGAGUUAAACAGUACGUGAAAUUGUCAAAAGGGAAGCGUUUGACACCAGUGUUGUUUUCUCGAAAAUCAAUUAAACGAAUGUUAUGUUUUUAGGAGUUAUGACCUUCAUACGCUUUCUUCACUUUCUUUAUGUACUUUCUUAAUGCACUUUUCGUUAACAAGUCAACAUCAGUUUCUUUUGUUGUAAAAGGGAUAUGAGGAAGGUGGCUUUCUUUUCGGAGAAAGUGUUUAUAGCCUUGUACCUCUGCAAUCGGAGAGAUUGAGGUACAUGCAGCGUAGAUCCUUCUGGAUUAGAUUCAUUUGUGCUAAGUUAUAGCUUUUCAUAGACAACUUGUUGACUGUGUUUAGUCUUGUAGCUUACUCGCUUAUGUAAUUUUACCUACGCUUAGGAUGUUGACGAGACUGUCGAUCUC